rnacentral:rRNA from 1 species
ACUCAAAUGAAUAGACGGGGAGGCGCACAAGCAGUGGAGCGUGUUGUUUAAUUCGAAACCAAGCGAAAAACCUCACCAGGGUUUGACAUGUACUUGCAAAUCCCGAGAAACCGGGACUCCUUCGAGGGUAGUACACAGAUGCUGCAUGGCCGUCGUCAGUUCGUGGCGUGAGCUGUACCGUUAAGUCGGGAAACGAACGAAACCCGCACCGUAUGUUAAAUAAUUCAUGCGGAACUGCCCCCAUUUUGGGGGAGGAAGGCGCGGAUGAUGUCAGGUCCGCACGGCUCUUACACCCUGGGCUACAAACACCCUACAAUGGCUAAAACAGCGAGUUGCUAAUCGGUAACGAGGAGCUAAUCUCUUAAAUUUAGCCUCAGUUCAGAUCGAGGUCUGCAACCUGACCUCGUGAAGUCGGAAUUGCUAGUAAUCGCGAAUCAGCAGGUCGCGGUGAAUACGUUCUCGCCUCUUGUACACACCGCCCGU